UACGUAUGUCGCAAGCGUUAUCCGGAAUUAUUGGGCGUAAAGGGCAUCUAGGCGGUCAAUCAAGUCGAAGGUGAAAACUUGUGGCUCAACCAUAAGCUUGCCUACGAAACUGAUUAACUAGAGUACUGGAGAGGUGGACGGAACUACACGAGUAGAGGUGAAAUUCGUAGAUAUGUGUAGGAAUGCCGAUGAUGAAGAUAGUUCACUGGACAGAAACUGACGCUGAAGUGCGAAAGCUAGGGGAGCAAACAGGAUUAGAUACCCUGGUAGUCCUAGCUGUAAACGAUGAUCACUGGGUGUGGGCAGGAAGACUGUCUGUGCCGAAGCUAACGCGAUAAGUGAUCCGCCUGGGGAGUACGACCGCAAGGUUGAA
rnacentral:rRNA from 1 species